UUAAGAGUGGACAAAACUUAUCCUAUUACUGAGCAUACAGUUCGGCACAACAGCUAUCGAUUAAGAUUUACAAUAUUCAUGUUUCUUGUUUUUGUAAUUGUUUAAAUAGUCAGAGCUUUAAUGAAGCAUUUCUAUGUUCAAAGGUUGACAUAAGAUGCCAACACAAUACAAGGCAGACAGGUGACACUAAAAGAAACACACACUGUCCUGCUGGGCUCUACCUUGUGUUGAAAAACCACAGACAUAGUCAGAACAGGAAGUCCAGAUCUAGUGAUAUUCAUAUUCAGGAGGGGUUAUUGUUGCAUGUGACCAUCAAACAUCACCACAACCACCACUUUGGCUGUUCUGAGGCCUUACAGCAGCGGGAUGUGGCCAGAGAGACCGUGGAGAAGCUGGAGAAACUUUUUCAGAGUGGGCACUCACCCUCCUCAGCCCUAAACACCCUGAAAUAUGACCUCCAGGAGGAGCAGGGUGAUUCAUAUGUGUAUUGCUUCUGAUUCAUUGCAGGUCCAUUUGUCCAGACGUCCAAUUCUGCUACCGAUUAUACUACUCCAUUUUCAAGAGGGAAUAUGGAGCUGCAUCAGGGGAUGCCAUGCUUGAAAACCUCCAGGAACGUCUGGAGGUUUACAACAAGGAACAGUGUGAAACAUGUGCGCGGUUGGAGUCCACCACUGACGAG